rnacentral:rRNA from 1 species
UGAUGACGAGACGCUAAGGCGUUGAAGUGGUGUAUGUCAGACUUCCAAGAAAAGCUCGCAAUGUCAUAGAUAAAAAAUGCCUGUACCAUAACCGACACAGGUGGGUAGGUAGAGUAUACUAAGGGGCGCGAGAUAACUCUCUCUAAGGAACUCGGCAAAAUGACUCCGUAACUUCGGGAGAAGGAGUGCCUUAUUUAUAAGGUUGCAAUAACAAGAUCCAAGCAACUGUUUAUCAAAAACACAGGUCUCCGCUAAGUCGUAAGACGAUGUAUGGGGGCUGACGCCUGCCCAGUGCCAGAAGGUUAAAGAAGUUGGUUAGUGUAAGCGAAGCUGAUAACUGAAGCCCUGGUGAACGGCGGCCGUAACUAUAACGGUCCUAAGGUAGCGAAAUUCCUUGUCGGGUAAGUUCCGACCCGCACGAAAGGCGUAAUGAUUUGGAUACUGUCUCGGAGAGAGGCUCGGUGAAAUAGACUUGUCUGUGAAGAUGCGGACUACCUGCACCAGGACAGAAAGACCCUAUGAAGCUUUACUGUAACUUGAAAUUGGAAUUGGACUUUGCUUGCGCAGUAUAGGUGGGAAGCGUUGAAGAUACUCUUGCGGGACUAUUGGAGCUAUCAGUGAGAUACCACUCUUGUAAUGUUAGAUUUCUAACUUUGAACCAUAAUCUGGUCAAAGAACAGUUUCAGGCGGGCAGUUUGACUGGGGCGGUCGCCUCCUAAAUGGUAACGGAGGCGUACAAAGGUUUCCUCUGAACGGAUAGAAAUCGUAUCUAGAGUGUAAAGGCAUAAGGAAGCUUGACUGUGAGACCUACAAGUCGAGCAGGGACGAAAGUCGGUCUUAGUGAUCUGACGGUACUGAGUGGAAAGGCCGUCACUCAACGGAUAAAAGUUACUCUAGGAUAACAGGCUGAUCUCCCCCAAGAGUUCACAUCGACGGGGAGGUUUGGCACCUCGAUGUCGGCUCAUCGCAUCCUGGGGCGGUAGUACGUCCCAAGGGUUGGGCUGUUCGCCCAUGAAAGCGGUACGCGAGCUGGGUUCAGAACGUCGUGAGACAGUUCGGUCCAUAUCCGGUGUAGGCGUUAGAAUAUUGAGAGGAGCCUUCUUUAGUACGAGAGGACCGAGAAGGACACACCGCUGGUGUACCAGUUAUCGUGCCAACGGUAAACGCUGGGUAGCUAUGUGUGGAGAGGAUAACCGCUGAAAGCAUCUAAGUGGGAAGCCCACCUCAAGAUGAGUAUUCUCAC